AUUGAACGCUGGCGGUAUGCUUAACACAUGCAAGUCGAACGGUAACAGGCCUAGCUUGCUAGGUGCUGACGAGUGGCGGACGGGUGAGUAACGCGUAGGAAUCUGCCUUAUUGUGGGGGAUAACCUGGGGAAACUCAGGCUAAUACCGCAUGAGCCCUUAGGGGGAAAGGAUGGGACCGAAAGGCCAUUCGCGAUAAGAUGAGCCUGCGUUGGAUUAGCUAGUUGGUGGGGUAAAAGCCUACCAAGGCGAGGAUCCAUAGCUGGUCUGAGAGGGCGAUCAGCCACGCUGGGACUGAGACACGGCCCAGACUCCUACGGGAGGCAGCAGUGGGGAAUAUUGGACAAUGGGGGCAACCCUGAUCCAGCAAUACCGCGUGUGUGAAGAAGGCCUGCGGGUUGUAAAGCACUUUCAGUGGGGAGGAAGAGCUCGGUGCUAAUAGUAUCGAGUUGAGACGUUACCCACAGAAGAAGCACCGGCUAACUCUGUGCCAGCAGCCGCCGUAA
rnacentral:rRNA from 1 species